GUGGGCCUGUGGGAAGAGCAUUCCAGAUGGGAAACAAGUGAUGUCAAGGGGCAGGAGAUUGAGGUCUUUUUAAUACAUGGAUUCACAGAGCCUAAGACAACAGCUGAUGGAACAAGAACCCAGAGGACGCAGGAAACAGGGGGUUGGAUGUCAUGGAAGGCAGGGUGGAAGAGGCUAAAAACAGUAUUCAUCAAAUGUACAAGAAGUUGCUGACCCCUGGAUCUACUUACCCUCCCCACACAGCCAGGGCAAGAAGAGUCUGUGGCUACAAGGCAUCAUGGAAGAAGGCUCUGGAGAGGCUCAUUUCCUACCAUGCACCUCACCCAAGACCAGCACUACAUCUGAAACCCACACCCAUGACCGCACACCCGUGUCCUCGAAGGUGCUACUGUUGAAGCUUCUACAGCCUGGAGCUGAUGGCAGCCAUAAUGCGAUGCCAGAUCCCUGGGACACUGGCUAACUGCAGAUGCAGUGAGAUGGGCUGCUGGGGAGAGCUGCUGCCAUGUGAGCCUUCUUUUCCUUGACUGUCUUUUCAGCUUGUGAGUUGCAAUGCGAGUGUCUUUUUGGUGGUUGGGUUUAUUUAUUUCAGGGGGUGGGGAGUGGGAUGGGAAAGGGUACUCAUUUCUGUAUCACUGCCUCUGGCGUAAGAGGCAAAGUUGAGGUUAACUGCCAACAGCUUCCCCUUUCUCUUCUUUUUGUUCACUCAAUCUGUCUGGACCAAUGCACAAGGAAAAAAGACAGACAGAAUGGCCCUCCAAAGUUGCACUCUGUUUUAAAGCUGAUAAAGGAUGUGUUUCCCACAGCUUAGGAGAAAAAUAUAUUAUCAAGUGCCUAAGCAAUUAAACAAAUGGUAUU